CUGUAUUUGUCCUAAUGCAUGAUAUGAGUUCUUGCAGGCACAGUGUAGUUCAGCCAUUCAUGAAAAUCCAUUUAGCCAGUAUAUAUAUUUCAAGUGGACAAUUUAAUCUAUUUACAUUCAAGGUUAUUUGCUGAGAUCAGCUCGAUCAUGGAGACCCCAUCCCAGCCGCACUAGAGGAAUUGAAGACACAGACACAGAAAUAGAAGAAUCAGGAGGCUAACAGCCUUCAGAGCUGAGAGCCACAAACGGAGUUUGACCCAUAUAUUUAUUGACAGCAAGACAAUGAGGUACUAAUCAUUGUGCAAGGCUGGGAGAAGUCUGGAGCCACUGAUGAUUUCUGAACAGGGCACACCCUGGCAUUAUUCAAAGGCUUCUGGACAAGCCAGCCUCUGACAGCCCAUCCAGGUGUUGGUAAUGGAUCUCCAGCUAUCCUGUCAAAAAAUGUUCCUAAAUUUUACUUCCUUUCUACCAGUGUUCACAAUUUCUCCUAUUCUGUCUGUGUGUGCAAUGUGCGGGAAGUUUUACUUUCACUUUUCUUUGCAUUUUAAAGUUCUCACUGAGAGUUUAUAAAGAUUUUUAUUAAACUUGUUUCCAAGUGUUUAUGUUUUUGUUGCUAUUGUAAUUUAAAUUAUCUUUUUCAUUUGAUUUUCUAAUUGUUUGCUGUUAUAAUGGUAAAUAAAAAUGUAACUUUUCUAGAGUCAGUUUGCAUCAGUUAAGUCUACUUAUUACUUCCAUUAGUUAUCUUAAAGUUUCCUUAAGAUUUUCUUUGCAAAUAGUCACGUUAUUUAUGAAUAUAUAUGGCGUUAUUUCUUCCUUUAUUUUAUGCAUAUUACUUCUUUCUUGUGAAGACUAGAAUUUCCAGUACAAUGUCAAAUAUAUGUGGUUAGAGUUUCCUAUUUGAAAGAGAAAGCAUUCAAUAUUUCACCAAUUAAGAAUGAUAGAUUUCUGUAAGUUUCCCAAAGAUGCCUUUCAUGAGCUUGCAGAAAUAACCCUAAAGAGCUUUUGUAAUAAAUAACUAUUGAAUUUUUUC
rnacentral:lncRNA from 10 species